rnacentral:rRNA from 1 species
GAUGAACGCUGGCGGCGUGCCUAAUACAUGCAAGUCGAGCGAACGGACGAGAAGCUUGCUUCUCUGAUGUUAGCGGCGGACGGGUGAGUAACACGUGGAUAACCUACCUAUAAGACUGGGAUAACUUCGGGAAACCGGAGCUAAUACCGGAUGAUAUUUUGAACCGCAUGGUUCAAAAGUGAAAGACGGUCUUGCUGUCACUUAUAGAUGGAUCCGCGCUGCAUUAGCUAGUUGGUAAGGUAACGGCUUACCAAGGCAACGAUGCAUAGCCGACCUGAGAGGGUGAGCGGCCACACUGGAACUGAGACACGGUCCAGACUCCUACGGGAGGCAGCAGUAGGGAAUCUUCCGCAAUGGGCGAAAGCCUGACGGAGCAACGCCGCGUGAGUGAUGAAGGGCUUCGGAUCGUAAAACUCUGUUAUUAGGGAAGAACAUAUGUGUAAGUAACUGUGCACAUCUUGACGGUACCUAAUCAGAAAGCCACGGCUAACUACGUG